AGUUAAGCAUGCACAACAAUAG
rnacentral:siRNA from 1 species